CAGUCGCCACGGGAAUACGGAGGGUGCAAGCGUUAAUCGGAAUUACUGGGCGUAAAGCGUGCGUAGGCGGUUCGUUAAGUCUGUUGUGAAAGCCCCGGGCUCAACCUGGGAAUGGCAAUGGAUACUGGCGAGCUAGAGUGUGUCAGAGGAUGGUAGAAUUCCCGGUGUAGCGGUGAAAUGCGUAGAGAUCGGGAGGAACAUCAGUGGCGAAGGCGGCCAUCUGGGACAACACUGACGCUGAGGCACGAAAGCGUGGGGAGCAAACAGGAUUAGAUACCCCCGUAGUCCCUGUCUCUUAUAC
rnacentral:rRNA from 1 species